AAGGGAGCAGAUGGUGUUCGUGGAUUGAAGGGCACCAAAGGUGAAAAGGGUGAAGAUGGCUUCCCUGGCUUUAAAGGUGAUAUGGGCAUCAAAGGAGACCGGGGGGAAAUUGGACCUCCUGGCCCUCGGGGUGAGGAUGGUCCUGAAGGUCCCAAAGGUCGCUCUGGCCCCAAUGGAGAUCCCGGUCCUCUUGGUCCUGCUGGAGAGAAGGGAAAACUCGGUGUGCCAGGACUGCCCGGCUACCCGGGCAGGCAGGGCCCAAAGGGCUCAAUCGGCUUCCCAGGAUUUCCAGGAGCCAACGGAGAGAAGGGCACACGGGGGACACCUGGCAAACCAGGUCCAAGGGGGCAACGCGGUCCAACGGU
rnacentral:lncRNA from 1 species